rnacentral:tRNA from 21 species
AGCUCAGUUGGUAGAGCGCUCGACUUAGUAACCGCAGGUCGGGGGUUCGAGUCC